AGGGAGGGAGGCUGCGGACGAGUGCGGGGAGGAGUUUGCGAGGGGAGGCGCUUGCAAGGGCUCCCCCACUUCUGCGCUGUGAGCAGGGGCACAAAGAGCCCUCUGCACUCCAACCUUCGCACCGUGAACCCGAGG
ensembl:misc_RNA